AAAAUGUAAUUUAGACAUCAUUUCUAUAAUUUGUAAUUAGGGAGUCAUGGUUGAAAGGUUCUGAUUUCGUUAAGCAUGAAGAGGAAUUACCGUGUCUCUUCUGAGAACAAAACAAGCAGCAUGUGUUGCUUUAAUAUAGCUGCUGUUCGCUAUUGAUGAGCAUUCCUGCUUCCUUUUGGGGAGCCGUGAGGGAAUGAAUAGGGUCUUAAAAGU